GCCUAAAUGAAGCUUUGGAGAAGCUAGGUUUCAGGAAGAGUCUUGCUGACAGUUACCUGUUCCUUAGAGGAUCAGGAGACUCACAGGAACUGGUGCUGAUUUGGGUUGAUGACGUGCUUUUCGUCUCAGAAACAGAUGAACAGGCGGAGAAGUUUGCCAAAGAGCUAGGUAAACGAUUCAAGCUUAAACAGCUUGGUGCUGUCAAAACCUAUCUAGGUGUCAAUGUUGAGCGUGCACAGGAUGGAAGUUUUUUGCUCAGCCAGAGAGGUAAAAUUGAGCAACUGCUUCAGAAGUUCAGGAUGAGUGAUUGUGCAGGAGUGAGAAGUCCUAUGGAGACUAGUUUUGUGAAGGACAGCCAGCAAGCAGAACGCGCUGCG